GGGGGACUUUGCUUAAACAAAAAAAACG
rnacentral:piRNA from 1 species